UACGAAGGGGGCUAGCGUUGUUCGGAUUUACUGGGCGUAAAGCGCAUGUAGGCGGGCCGUUAAGUUGGGGGUGAAAGCCCGGAGCUCAACUCCGGAAUUGCCUUCAAAACUGGCGGCCUGGAGCAAGAUAGAGGCGAGUGGAAUUCCGAGUGUAGAGGUGAAAUUCGUAGAUAUUCGGAGGAACACCAGUGGCGAAGGCGACUCGCUGGAUCUUUGCUGACGCUGAGACGCGAAAGCGUGGGGAGCAAACAGGAUUAGAAACC
rnacentral:rRNA from 1 species